GUGUACAGCCAGACCACCCUGAACAUACCUGAUCUCAUCUGAGCUCAGAAGCUAAGCAGGGUCGGGCCUUGUUAGUACUUGGAUGGGAGAAAGAAGGUGAUUUAUGAA
ensembl:rRNA 5S_rRNA 5S ribosomal RNA